rnacentral:misc_RNA from 1 species
GGAAAUUUGAAGGGAAAACCUGAAGGUGGCUCUCUCGUUCAAGCAAGGAUUGGAGUUUCCCGAAUCUACAAGCUUAUUCGUGGAAACCGUGUUUCAAGGAACAAAUUUAUGUCUUCAAUAGUUCGCAAAUUUGAUAAUCCAACCUGGACCAAUUCAGUUAUUCCAUUUUUUAUGUACUGCACAGAAGUACUUGCUAUGCU